UACGUAGGGUGCAAGCGUUAAUCGGAAUUACUGGGCGUAAAGCGUGCGCAGGCGGUUUUGUAAGUUUGUCGUGAAAGCCCCGGGCUCAACCUGGGAAUUGCGAUGAAGACUGCAAGGCUUGAAUCUGGCAGAGGGGGGUAGAAUUCCACGUGUAGCAGUGAAAUGCGUAGAGAUGUGGAGGAACACCGAUGGCGAAGGCAGCCCCCUGGGUCAAGAUUGACGCUCAUGCACGAAAGCGUGAGGAGCAAACAGG
rnacentral:rRNA from 1 species